rnacentral:rRNA from 1 species
GGUUGUGCUGGCCCCUUGGGGCAUGUGCACGCCUUCUCUUUCAUCCGCACACACCUGUGCACUUGUGAGACGGAAGCCUUUCGGGGAGUCCGUCUGCUCCACAUAAACUCAUAUAUUUAAAACGAAUGUAAUUGAUGUAACACAUCUUUAAACUAAGUUUCAACAACGGAUCUCUUGGCUCUCGCAUCGAUGAAGAACGCAGCGAAAUGCGAUAAGUAAUGUGAAUUGCAGAAUUCAGUGAAUCAUCGAAUCUUUGAACGCACCUUGCGCUCCUUGGUAUUCCUCGGAGCAUGCCUGUUUGAGUAUCAUGAAAUUCUCAAAAUAAAUCUUUCGUUCAUUCGAUUGGUUUCAUUUUGGACUUGGAGGUCUGCAGAUUCACGUCUGCUCCUCUUAAAUAUAUUAGCUGGAUCUCCGUAAGCUCGGUUCCACUCGGCGUGAUAAGUAUCACUCGCUGAGGACACUGUAAAAGGUGGCCGGGAAUGCAGACGAACUGCUUCUAAUCGUCUAUUGACUUAGACAAUUAACUUUAUGAUCUGAUCUCAAAUCAGGUAGGACUACCCGCUGAACUUAAGCAUAU